AACUACUUCAGUGGCCUAGUGGUUAGAGCAUCCACCUCGGAUGCGGGAGGUCAUGGGUUCGAUCCUCAGCUGUGUCA